rnacentral:lncRNA from 1 species
GACAGGCCCCCGGAGGGUGGGGCCCCUGCAGAGAGCCCUUCUCUAGGACGGGGCACCUGCCUAGGGGGCCUGAGAUGAGGUCGGCCUUGGCUCAUCACCUGGGGAGAGUGGAUCUAGGAGGCCCGAGCAAAGCUACCUGGGCCCAGUCUGGGUGGAGCCCCCGAGGCGGGAGGGUGGAGCCUCGCGGACCCUGGCUGGGGUCGGGGCAGAAUCCAGGCCUGGGGAGCUCCAGGUGAGACGGGGAGUCCUCAGCCCAGUCAGCUGUGAGGCCACGGGACCCUGGGACAGGGCGGGCUCUGGCCACUAAACAGCAAAGCAGGCGGAGACAUCCUAUGCCAUUCCACGUGGGAGCCUCAGACUCUCAGGAGUCCUGACUGGCCCCAGGGUCUUUGGCCACGUUUGGAUCCAGGUCGCGUAGGGUCAGGAUCCAGCGUUUCCCGCGGGCUCUGAGGAGAGAAGGGAACCGGAAGGUUCUGGUCCUGUCGGAGAUGUGUGGAGAGUUGCUUUUCCAGAAGAAAUACCAACUCCCACAUUUAAGUUUAGGCAGUUGACCAACUUUGAAAAGCUUGGAACUUUUGUUUGGCGUUGAAGCCACAUGAUCUGUCGCCCAUGGAAACAGCAGAAUUCCAUAAGGACUGGGUGGGGAACCCACACUCUCUACCGGGCGCCAGCCACAGGCUGUCUCUUGCGUGAGUUCUGACGUGAACAACGGAGUAGAACAUGUUGUCAUUUGUUUGUUGACAUCGCGGAUGAAGGAGCAGAAUCCAUUUUGCGGGGAAAGAUGUGGGAACACUGUUGGAUACAGCCGCAGGGGAUCACUGGGCGCCUUAAAGAGAGCGCUUGCUACUUCGUGCUGGGGGAGAAGAGACGAGUGAGUGACUGGUUGCAGAUGAAGAUGAAGCCCUGGGGAUGGGUGUGCUGUGAGUUGAAACGACCCUGGGCUCUGAGUCAUCAUGUGGAGCAGUCCUACGCGCCAACAAAACCACGUGCCUUGGACUGGAAUUUUUAG